CCAAUAGCGUAUAUUAAAGUUGUUGCAGUUAAAAAGCUCGUAGUUGAAUUUCGGGAUUGACGUGACGGUCAUGCCUUAAGGGGUAUGAACUGUUACAGUUGAUUUCUCACCUUCUGGAGAAACUUGAUGUCCUUUAUUGGGUGUCUUGCGGAACCAGGACCUUUACCUUGAAAAAAUUAGAGUGUUUAAAGCAGGCAUUUUUGCUCGAAUACAUUAGCAUGGAAUAAUAGAAUAGGACGGCAUGGUUCUAUUUUGUUGGUUUCUAGGAUCACCGUAAUGAUUAAUAGGGAUAGUUGGGGGCAUUAGUAUUCAAUUGUCAGAGGUGAAAUUCUUGGAUUUAUUGAAGACUAACUACUGCGAAAGCAUUUGCCAAGGAUGUUUUCAUUAAUCAAGAACGAAAGUUAGGGGAUCGAAGACGAUCAGAUACCGUCGUAGUCUUAACCAUAAACUAUGCCGACUAGGAAUCAGACGAUGUUAAUUUUUUAAUGACUCGUUUGGCACCUUACG
rnacentral:rRNA from 1 species